rnacentral:rRNA from 1 species
UACGUAGGGUGCAAGCGUUGUCCGGAAUUAUUGGGCGUAAAGAGCUCGUAGGCGGUCUGUCGCGUCGGCUGUGAAAACUCGGGGCUCAACUCCGAGCUUGCAGUCGAUACGGGCAGGCUAGAGUUCGGCAGGGGAGACUGGAAUUCCUGGUGUAGCGGUGAAAUGCGCAGAUAUCAGGAGGAACACCGGUGGCGAAGGCGGCUCGCUGGGCUCUACCUGACGCUGAGGCGCGAAAGCGUGGGGAGCGAACCGG